rnacentral:rRNA from 1 species
AUUGAACGCUGGCGGCAGGCCUAACACAUGCAAGUCGAGCGAGCGGCGGACGGGUGAGUAAUGUAUGGGGACUGCCCGAUAGAGGGGGAUAACUACUGGAAACGGUGGCUAAUACCGCAUACUAUCGGAUAACCCAUAUGGGAUUAGCUAGUAGGUGGGGUAAAGGCUCACCUAGGCGACGAUCUCUAGCUGGUCGGAGAGGAUGAGCAGCCACACUGGGAAGGAGAAACGGCCCAGACUCAUACGGAGGCAGCAGUGGGGAAUGUUGGACAAUGGGCGCAAGCCUGAUGCAGCCAUGCCGGGUGUAUGAAGAAGGCCUUAGGGUUGUAAAGUACUUUCAGCGGGGAGGCGUUACCCGAAGAAGAAGCACCGGCUAACUCCGUGCCAGCAGCCGCGAUAAUUC